rnacentral:lncRNA from 10 species
UAUAACUAAGAGAUAAUGUUUCUGUAAGAAGAAGUGAUCUUUUCUACAUCUGGCUAGCAGAAGAAACUGGUGUAUCACAGAGAUAGCUAAAUAAUGAAGAACAAGAUGGACUGAGUGGAAUGAACAGCUGUUACAAAUGUAGAAACUAUUAAAGAGCAGUCUAAUUGAGGAGCACUAUAGUGUAGCAGUCAAGAGCAUGGAUCUGAAAUCAGACCAGCCUGGAUUUAAGUUUUGGCUCUACCAUUACCUAGAUGUUUCAUCUUUCUCCAAGUUACACACUCUCAGCCUCAGUUUUCUCACCCAUAAACAAGCAUAUAAGGAUAAUAACCUGCCUCAGGUUGUAAGGAUUAAAGGGAACUUAUAUAAAACCUAUAAUGAAUCUGACUCACUAGGCUCUUAAUAGUAGCUCCUCUUAUAAGCAGAACAGGGCAAAGUAGUAAUUGCAACUGAGAAGAGAAAAUGCAGUUCAAAGCAAGAUUAAAAGGAUGAGUAAAGUCCCCUAGAGAGCUCAGCCCUACAGGAUUUGAGAUUCUCAUUCAUUCACACCUUCCCUCCUUCCUUCCCUUCUAAUUUUUGUUCAACUACUUCCCUCUUUUCCUCUCUCUCUACCCACCAACCAUUAUGCUAGACUCCACAUGCAGCAUCUCAUUUUAUCCACCUGGAGCUUGCUUUUGCCCUACUCUCCUCAGUGGAGAAUUCUCUUCCUCCUGUCCCUCCCUUCACCCCCGCUUCCUGUCUCUGAGCUUCCUUCUCCAGGUUUGCUCCUUUCCAUCAGGUAUCACUUUAUCACCACCUCCUCAAAGAGGCCGUGUUCAUGUCCAGGCCCACAAUCUCAAGUAGCCAUCCUGUGAUUCUGUAUCAUAUUAUCCUUUUUAAACUCUAUGCAGCAUUUACUACCUCUGAUGUUUUUUCUUCUUUAAGGAUUUGAUUGCCUUAUGUGACAAGCCCAAGAUCUGUGACAGUUGGAGCUCAAACUAGGCAGUCUUGAUUCCAGACUGCUCUGAACUAGUAUUUGAAGGAACUAAUGAACAUGACAUGUUAAAUGAAAGUUUGGGGACGUACACUCAGGAUGGAAGCAGGGGGACACAACAGAAAUGAAAGAAUUUUCUGUAGAUCUGGGAUCUGGACACCUGCCCCCCGUCAUCACCCUCAGUCAUCACAGUCAUUAGACUGGACAUCUGCCUCCAUGGAGAAUAUGUGAAUACCUGUGAAUGUACUUCCUGGAGGCGCUGCCAAACUAUUUCCAGCAAUGACAAAACAUAGCAUGGAAGGCAGUAAACAAGAUGCUAACUGAUGGAGUGAAAUCCCCAGGAGAUGCAGAAGGCAAGUGCAGCUAACUGAGGCCUCAGGGGCAGGAGAUGCCCAUCAGGAUGAGAGCUAUGUCUUUCUCCAGUGAUGACUCUGCUUCUAUGAGGUCACCAGCAGUAGAACCAUAUCUUGCUGGCAUACACUUGGGAUGGCCCCGCCUCCUGGACUUCCAUCUGUCAUCAGGAGAACAUAACCAUCUGGAGUCAGUACAGAUCAUCAAUCCUUCCACAUAUACAAGUUCAUUUUAAAUUUUUAAAAAUAUAAUACAACUGAGAAGUCUUCAUUAA